rnacentral:rRNA from 1 species
AGAGUUUGAUCCUGGCUCAGGAUGAACGCUGGCGGCGUGCCUAAUACAUGCAAGUCGAGCGAACGGACGAGAAGCUUGCUUCUCUGAUGUUAGCGGCGGACGGGUGAGUAACACGUGGAUAACCUACCUAUAAGACUGGGAUAACUUCGGGAAACCGGAGCUAAUACCGGAUAAUAUUUUGAACCGCAUGGUUCAAAAGUGAAAGACGGUCUUGCUGUCACUUAUAGAUGGAUCCGCGCUGCAUUAGCUAGUUGGUAAGGUAACGGCUUACCAAGGCAACGAUGCAUAGCCGACCUGAGAGGGUGAUCGGCCACACUGGAACUGAGACACGGUCCAGACUCCUACGGGAGGCAGCAGUAGGGAAUCUUCCGCAAUGGGCGAAAGCCUGACGGAGCAACGCCGCGUGAGUGAUGAAGGUCUUCGGAUCGUAAAACUCUGUUAUUAGGGAAGAACAUAUGUGUAAGUAACUGUGCACAUCUUGACGGUACCUAAUCAGAAAGCCACGGCUAACUACGUGCCAGCAGCCGCGGUAAUACGUAGGUGGCAAGCGUUAUCCGGAAUUAUUGGGCGUAAAGCGCGCGUAGGCGGUUUUUUAAGUCUGAUGUGAAAGCCCACGGCUCAACCGUGGAGGGUCAUUGGAAACUGGAAAACUUGAGUGCAGAAGAGGAAAGUGGAAUUCCAUGUGUAGCGGUGAAAUGCGCAGAGAUAUGGAGGAACACCAGUGGCGAAGGCGACUUUCUGGUCUGUAACUGACGCUGAUGUGCGAAAGCGUGGGGAUCAAACAGGAUUAGAUACCCUGGUAGUCCACGCCGUAAACGAUGAGUGCUAAGUGUUAGGGGGUUUCCGCCCCUUAGUGCUGCAGCUAACGCAUUAAGCACUCCGCCUGGGGAGUACGACCGCAAGGUUGAAACUCAAAGGAAUUGACGGGGACCCGCACAAGCGGUGGAGCAUGUGGUUUAAUUCGAAGCAACGCGAAGAACCUUACCAAAUCUUGACAUCCUUUGACAACUCUAGAGAUAGAGCCUUCCCCUUCGGGGGACAAAGUGACAGGUGGUGCAUGGUUGUCGUCAGCUCGUGUCGUGAGAUGUUGGGUUAAGUCCCGCAACGAGCGCAACCCUUA